UAAAUCAGGACAGGAUCAAUACCCU
rnacentral:piRNA from 1 species